rnacentral:rRNA from 1 species
AGCAGCCGCGGUAAUUCCAGCUCCAAUAGCGUAUAUUAAAGUUGUUGCAGUUAAAAAGCUCGUAGUUGAAUUUCGGGAUCAAUAUGUCGGUCGUGCUUCGGUACGUACUGGCGUUAUUGGUUUCUCCCUUCUGAAGAACCGCGAUGUCAUUAAUUUGGUGUCGUGGGGAAUCAGGACUGUUACUUUGAAAAAAUUAGAGUGUUUAAAGCAGGCUCGCGCUUGAAUACAUUAGCAUGGAAUAAUGAAAUAGGACGUUUGAUUCUAUUUUGUUGGUUUCUAGGAUCGACGUAAUGAUUAAUAGGGAUAGUUGGGGGCAUUAGUAUUCAAUUGUCAGAGGUGAAAUUCUUGGAUUUAUUGAAGACUAACUACUGCGAAAGCAUUUGCCAAGGAUGUUUUCAUUAAUCAAGAACGAAAGUUAGGGGAUCGAAGACGAUCAGAUACCGUCGCAGUCUUAACCAUAAACUAUGCCGACUAGGGAUCGGAUGAUGUUAAUUUUUAAUGACUCAUUCGGCGCCUUAAC